rnacentral:rRNA from 1 species
AAUCAACGCUGGCGGCGUGCCUAACACAUGCAAGUCGAACGAGAAGGUGACUUCGGUCACUGGAUAGUGGCGUCCGGGUGAGUAACACGUAGGUAAUCUACCUUCGGGUGGGGAAUAACGUCUCGAAAGAGACGCUAAUACCGCAUAAUGCAGCGGCACCUAAUGGUGAUUAGUUGUUAAAGCGGGGGAGUCUUCGGACCUCGCGCCUGAAGAGGAGCCUGCGGCAGAUUAGCUAGUUGGUGAGGUAAUGGCUCACCAAGGCUUCGAUCUGUAGCUGGUCUGAGAGGACGGGCCAGCCACACUGGCACUGACACACGGGCCAGACUCCUACGGGAGGCAGCAGUGGGGUAAUUUUGGGCAAUGGGCGAAAGCCUGACCCAGCAACGCCGCGUGAAGGAGGAAAUCCUUCGGGAUGUAAACUUCAUAAGUAAGGGAAGAAAGCUGCGGAUCGAA